AGCUGGUUGGUGAGGUAACGGCCCACCAAGGCGACGAUCGGUAGCCGGACUGAGAGGUUGAACGGCCACAUUGGGACUGAGACACGGCCCAGACUCCUACGGGAGGCAGCAGUGGGGAAUAUUGCACAAUGGGGGAAACCCUGAUGCAGCGACGCCGCGUGGAGGAAGAAGGUCUUCGGAUUGUAAACUCCUGUUGUUGGGGAAGAUUAUGACGGUACCCAACAAGGAAGUGACGGCUAACUACGUGCCAGCAGCCGCGGUAAAACGUAGGUCACAAGCGUUGUCCGGAAUUACUGGGUGUAAAGGGAGCGCAGGCGGGAAGACAAGUUGGAAGUGAAAUCUAUGGGCUCAACCCAUAAACUGCUUUCAAAACUGUUUUUCUUGAGUAGUGCAGAGGUAGGCGGAAUUCCCGGUGUAGCGGUGGAAUGCGUAGAUAUCGGGAGGAACACCAGUGGCGAAGGCGGCCUACUGGGCACCAACUGACGCUGAGGCUCGAAAGUGUGGGUAGCAAACAGGAUUAGAUACCCUGGUAGUCCACACCGUAAACGAUGAUUACUAGGUGUUGGAGGAUUGACCCCUUCAGUGCCGCAGUUAACACAAUAAGUAAUCCACCUGGGGAGUACGACCGCAAGGUUGAAACUCAAAGGAAUUGACGGGGGCCCGCACAAGCAGUGGAGUAUGUGUUUAAUUCGACGCAACGCGAAGAACCUUACCAAGUCUUGACAUCCCUUGACAGGCAUAGAAAUAUGUUUUCUCUUCGGAGCAAGGAGACAGGUGGUGCAUGGUUGUCGUCAGCUCGUGUCGUGAGAUGUUGGGUUAAGUCCCGCAACGAGCGCAACCCUUAUGGUCAGUUACUACGCAAGAGGACUCUGGCCAGACUGCCGUUGACAAAACGGAGGAAGGUGGGGAUGACGUCAAAUCAUCAUGCCCUUUAUGACUUGGGCUACACACGUACUACAAUGGCGUUAAACAAAGAGAAGCAAGACCGCGAGGUGGAGCAAAACUCAGAAACAACGUCCCAGUUCGGACUGCAGGCUGCAACUCGCCUGCACGAAGUCGGAAUUGCUAGUAAUCGUGGAUCAGCAUGCCACGGUGAAUACGUUCCCGGGCCUUGUACACACCGCCCGUCACACCAUGAGAGCCGGGGGGACCCGAAGUCGGUAGUCUAACCGCAAGGAGGACGCCGCCGAAGGUAAAACUGGUGAUUGGGGUGAAGUCGUAACAAGGUAGCCGUAGGAGAACCUGCGGCUG
rnacentral:rRNA from 1 species